UACGUAGGGGGCAAGCGUUGUCCGGAAUUAUUGGGCGUAAAGAGCUCGUAGGCGGUCCGUCACGUCCGCUGUGAAAACCCAGGGCUCAACCCUGGGCUUGCAGUGGAUACGGGCAGACUAGAGGUAGGUAGGGGAGAAUGGAAUUCCCGGUGUAGCGGUGAAAUGCGCAGAUAUCGGGAGGAACACCGGUGGCGAAGGCGGUUCUCUGGGCCUUACCUGACGCUGAGGAGCGAAAGCGUGGGGAGCGAACAGG
rnacentral:rRNA from 1 species